UCUUUGCAGGAGGUUUAUCUUGAGAACAACCUGAUAGAAGAGAUAUCUGACUCUGUCUUCAACCAAACCACCAACCUGAGCGUGAUCUCACUGAGACACAACAGACUGGAGGAGUCUAGGAUUGCACCUCUAGCAUGGAUCAACCACAAGAACCUGGAGUCCAUUGACCUGUCCUACAACCGUCUGUACCUGGUCCCAUCCUACCUGCCCAGAGCUCUGGUCCACCUGGUCUUGGUAGGGAACCAGAUUGAGAGGAUCCCAGGGUUUGUGUUUGCCCACAUGGAGCCGGGCAUAGAGUACCUGUACCUGUCCCAUAACAAGCUGGAUGGGGAGGGAGUGGAGCCACAGUCCUUCUUGGGCACCUAUACCUCCAUGACAGAGCUGUGUUUAGACCACAACCAGCUCAUAACGGUUCCCCCUGGUAUCAACCAGAUGAGCACUUCUGCACUUCCUGCGC